rnacentral:rRNA from 1 species
UACGUAGGGUGCAAGCGUUAAUCGGAAUUACUGGGCGUAAAGCGUGCGCAGGCGGUUGUGCAAGACAGAUGUGAAAUCCCCCGGCUCAACUGGGGAACUGCACAGGAAACUAGCGGGCUUGAGUUCGGGAGAGGGAAGCGGAAUUCCGGGUGUAGCGGUGAAAUGCGCAGAUAUCAGGAGGAACACCAAUAGCGAAGGCAGCUCGCUGGGACGGUAUUGACGCUAAGGCGCGAAAGCGUGGGGAGCAAACAGG